UCUCCGUUGGUGAACCAGCGGAGGGAUCAUUACUGGAAUCGCAAGAUCCCACAACCCUGUGAACCUACCGAAACGUUGCCUCGGCGGGUGCCCGGCCUCUGCGCCGGGCGCUGCGCCCGCCGGCGGCCCCCUACUCUGUCUCUGCAGCGUGGCAUCUCAGAGUCCCAGAAAACAAGUCAAAACUUUCAACAACGGAUCUCUUGGCUCUA
rnacentral:misc_RNA from 1 species